rnacentral:sRNA from 1 species
UUUUUUUCCUGCAAAGCCCAACCAAAUCACUUCUAGACUGGCGACCUCAGUUGUGUACCUGUCACAUGCCAAACCUAUCCCAAGCUCUGCUUGUUUAUUUUAGCAAGCACUGUUGAACCCCUGUUGUGUGGCUAGCUGAGCUUGGUGCUCUAGACUAAAGCACAUUCCUUCAUGUCAAAUCACUUACAGCUGAACAGACGAUUAGACAUAUAACUGCCAAAAUGAGCAGUAUAGAUGGGGUAAAAGCAUGUCUACGAAGAAAAGUAUGUGAACAGGAAGAAAAGUAUGAAAUUCCUGAAGGUCCGCGCAGAAGCAGGCUCAACAGAGAACAGCUGUUGCCAAAGCUGUUUGAUGGAUGCUACUUCUAUUUGGGGGGAACCUUCAAACACCAUCCAAAGGACAACCUUAUUAAGCUCGUCACUGCAGGUGGGGGCCAGAUCCUCAGUAGAAAGCCCAAGCCAGACAGUGACGUGACUCAGACCAUCAAUACAGUCGCAUACCAUGCGAGACCCGAUUCUGAUCAGCGCUUCUGCACACAGUAUAUCAUCUAUGAAGAUUUGUCUAAUUAUCACCCAGAGAGGGUUCGGCAGGGCAAAGUCUGGAAGGCUCCUUCGAGCUGGUUUAUAGACUGUGUGAUGUCCUUUGAGUUGCUUCCUCUUGACAGCUGAAUAUUAUACCAGAUGAACAUUUCAAAUUGAAUUUGCACGGUUUGUGAGAGCCCAGUCAUUGUACUGUUUUUAAUGUUCACAUUUUUACAAAUAGGUAGUCAUUCAUAUUUGUCUUUGAAUCAAAAAAAAAAAAAAAAAGUCUAAUGCCAGAUUAGGAAUUCAUGUUGUGUUUACCAUUUAGAUGCUGGGAUUGCUUUUAAAAGUUUUUUCUUUUUAAAAUUGGCAUGUUUUUGAUUCAUCAUGUCUUUCUAUU